rnacentral:rRNA from 1 species
UACGAAGGGGGCUAGCGUUGCUCGGAAUCACUGGGCGUAAAGGGUGCGUAGGCGGGUCUUUAAGUCAGGGGUGAAAUCCUGGAGCUCAACUCCAGAACUGCCUUUGAUACUGAGGAUCUUGAGUUCGGGAGAGGUGAGUGGAACCGCGAGUGUAGAGGUGAAAUUCGUAGAUAUUCGGAAGAACACCAGUGGCGAAGGCGACACACUGGCCCAAUACUGACGCUGAGGCUCGAAAGCGUGGGGAGCAAACGGG